rnacentral:rRNA from 1 species
GACGAACCGGUGCGAACGUUGUUCGGAAUCACUGGGCUUAAAGGGCGCGAUAGGCGGUUUGCCAAGUCAGGGGUGAAAUCCUGGCAAGCUCAACUGUAGAAGUGCCUUUGAUACUGGCGAACUCGAGGGAGGUAGGGGUGGGUGGAACGUUCUGGUGGAGGCGGUGAAAUGCGUUGAUAGUCAGAAGGAACGCCGGUGGCGAAAGC